rnacentral:lncRNA from 1 species
GGGGGGUUUACACCCAACAAAUAAGAUUCAAACCUUAUGCCUAUUUAAAGGAGCCUUCCUUAAGGUCUCUAGGCAAUUCAACCAGUAGCCCCAUGCCUCCCUUAAAGAGCCCACGCCCCCUUUUUUUCUUCUCCCUCUUUUCUCCCUUGGAGAUCCAAUGCCCAAGCUCGGACGUCCUCCAUCUUCAAUACCCAAAGGUGUUUGGGUGUCUUCUAUUACUUGCUGAUUUUUAGUUUCUAGUUGCUCCAUAAUC